UACCGAGUGAUAGUCAGGCCGA
rnacentral:siRNA from 1 species